rnacentral:lncRNA from 1 species
GGUUAGUUACAUAAAGGGAAGGUUUUAGCACCCUUUAUUUCCGUAGUACUCUACGUGAACCUCUUGUUUUUAUUUAAUUAAUGUGCUAUAACUUGCUUGCUUAUUUUUGAAAAGAAGGAAUUAAAUUGAAAAAAUAAAGACCUAAUUAUCUACAUUUUUUAUUGAUUUGGAAGGACAUGGUCCUCUGCCUACGUACCCGUGAGGGAUCAAAACCUCGUAAUUCGGGGUAGAAAUUGACGUCUGAUUGGUUUUUAUGUUUUUUAUUAGUUUUGAAAAAGGUUUUAAAAUGAAAAGCCAAGUGGCAAAUAAGUGUUUGUUUGUGUUUUUUAAUAUUGAAAAAAGAGACUUUAAGUAAAGUUAAAUUGAUUGAAGUUUGAUUAAGAAAAGAAAAUAAAAAUGCGGUCACUUGAUUUGGAUCAAGGUUUAUUAUGAAAAUAUUUUUGUGAUUUUGAUUAUUUGCAUGUUUUUUGUUGUUUUUUGUAAUAUUAAAUAAAAAUUAAACUAAUGGAGCAAUAAAAAUAAAAGCGCGUGGAUUUUUGUAGUGACGUUGGAUCACCACAAAAUCCCUAAUCUAAUUUUUUUUGCAUUUUUGGAUAUAUCUAAGGCGGUAAAGAAAUAAAAGGACACACACCCACACACUUUUCUCAUUUAUAUUUACAUUGGACCUAAAUACAUUCUAAUUGCUGGAAAAUAAAUAACAAUAAUUAAAAUGCUAAAUAGAAAUAAAAAAAAUGCAAAAAUGCUAAAAAGAAAUAAAAUGCAAGAAAAUAAAAGAAAUUGACAACUGUAGGGGCAAAAAUUACCGAAGGGACUUUUUCGAAGAGACUUAUUCCGAAGGGACAGAAAAAAGAGGGAGAAGAAAAGAAUAGCUCGUCAACACAAGCUAAAGAGGGAGAAGAGAGAAAAGUUCUUUUACAACUCAAGAGAACUUUUGGUGUGUGAAAUUGUGUGGAAUGAGGGCUCUAUUUAUAGGUGAGGAGUUUGAUGAAAAAAGGAAAAUUGGUUUAAUGGGAAUGAUGGAUAAUUAUGUGAAUUUUGAAAAAGGAAUGUUAAAGUUGACACUUUGAUUUGAAUUUUUUUUUUAGACCUUGGGCAUUUUAUUUUUGGACCUAUUAACACUUUGUUUUUUUUGGACACUAAUUAAUUAAAAAGAAAUAAAAUAAAAAUAAAAUAAAUCUAAUACAAAAUAAAAAUAAAAACAAAUUAAACUAAAUUAUGUAAAAAUUAAAAUUAAUAAAAGAUGGAAAGAAAAUAAAAAAGAGAAAAGAGGGUCCGACUCGAAAUCAAAAAAUGAGGUAUUUUAAAAUAUAUACCUCCCUGCCGAAUUUUUUUUACUGAAAAAUCAGAGAUCGAUCAGAGUCGAGUGACAUGUGUCAGUGGGGCCUUAGGUCAAAAAUUGGGGUAUGACAAUAACAUUCGGCCUAACAAUUGUGACAUUUUAUCAGUUGAGCUUGACUUCUGGAUAAAAAUAUAUUAACCACGUAAAAGUUCUAAUAUUUCAACUUUAUCUCAUAUACUAGUACACAAUUUGAUCCCUUAUUAUUGUUUACGAAAAGAUUUACAUUUAAAGAGGUCAACCUUACGUAAAGAUCAUCACAAUAAUUUUGAGGGAUAAGUUAUUUUUGCAGUUGCACGUAAAGUUUGCCAGAAAAAGUACUAAACAUGUAUAUAUACAUCACAAUUGAAACAAAACUCUUAAUUAACAUAAUUAUUAGAUUUGCUAUCAUAUGAUCAGAAAAUUAUGUGUGAUAUUGUGAAAAAUAAGAUAGCAAUAUGUUACCGAUAACAAUUUAGUAAAUGUAUCAAUAGAGAUUGUGGAUUAUUUAUUUUAUUUUAUUCAUAAUAGGUUUCAUCUUUUUUUUUAACAAGGUAAAAUGGAAUAUAUUAUAUCACAAAGAGUGAUUCAUCUCGCAUAAGGUGUACAAAGGAGAACCAUCCAUCAAAAAACAAUGUUAAUAGUCUGGUGCUAUAAAGCAGCACUCCGGAAGAAAGACAAAACAAAACAAUGCUACACUAUAACACCCAUAUAUGGUAAAGGAUGCCGCCACCGGUCGUUGUAACGGAAGGCAAAGGUAGACAUGUUAGCCUUUAGCCAAGAAAAAGACAUAAAUUUAGGAGAGUCUACUAAAUGAUCCAAAGUGUCAGUCCUCUGGUUAAAAAUCAUGUGGUUUCUUUCCUUCCAAAUAACCCAGAUAAUAGCCAUCCAAAUUACCGUCAGAAAAGAGUGUGUAGAUCGCGAUAGCCCCGCCAAAUGGCCAAACUGAUGAAGAUGCUCGCUAACGGAUGUUGGAGCAAUAAAAGAGAUACCUAGCCACUGAUAAAUGUAGUGCCACACCAUACCGAAAUGAUCACAGCGAAAGAGAAGAUGAUCUGAUGUCUCGAAGGAACCGCACCCACCAAUGCAUGAAUUGUCGUCUGAAGGAAUGAUGCGCCUAAGGUUGUCUUUAGUUGGAAUGCGAUUGCGGAGUAGACGCCAAGCAAAAAUAGAAACCUUAAGCGGAACUUGCUUCCUCCACAAAUCGUCAAACAGGCCACGCUCCGGAAGGUCACCUGACGUCGUGAGAUAAGUAUAAGUGCCCUUGACAGAAUAGCCAUAAUAGGUUUCAUCAUGAAAGUUUCAUCUAAUCUUAGGAGUUAUUUGAAUAAAUUGUGGAUUUGUAGUUAUUUAAUCAAUUAGGUCCAUGUUAUUCUUAGUUAUUCGAGUCAAACUAUAAAAACAACUCUUGUUGUUUAUUAUGGUUCAAUUGUUCAACCAACUAAGCAGGGUGAGAAGUAUUACAAAAAUUAUGGAUUUGUUGGUGCUUAGCUAAUGAUUGAAGAAUUCAAAUUGGCUCUUGUUUAGGAGAAAUUCUUGUGUAGGAACGAAACUAACUAUCAUUCUUACAAACAACAAAUUAAAACAUGACACGUCGUUUUAUUUUCUUUUAACCAUGAUUGGUGGUGGUGAAUACUAACUGCAAAUAAUGGUUGAGAGAGAGGAGGAGCAGUUAUUUUUCAUUUCUUAAAUUAUUUCAAAAUUAUUUUAAAAUAAAACAAUGACGUAUCAUAUUUUAAUUUGUUGUUUGUAAGAAUGAUAUGUUAGGUUUGUCCCUACACAAAAAUUUCUCCUUGUUUAGUUUGUAUCAUCUGGAAAGGUAUUCAACUUUUCUGGUAAUGAAGUGAAAAUUUUGUUGAUGACGUCUUCUUAGUUGGGCAACGUGAUUCUUAGACUGGCUACUAAAAUGAAUUCAAGAAAAAUUAUUAUAUUUUAAGAGGCAUAUUUGAGGAGCUAAAAUUCAAAGAUUCAUCCAUGAGAACAAGCAAUUGAAGAUUCAUUGGAUUCCUCCAAGUACAAUUUCAUAUUUUCCGCGUUGUUUAAUUUCAUGAACAGGAUUAUAUGAAUCUAUUUGAAACAAUUGUGUGAAUAAAAUUUGUAGUACUUUUACUUAUACCUUUAAAAAUUAAAACACAUGUUAAAAAACUAAAAAUAAUGCAAUUGAUCUCAAAUAGGGGUGGAUAUAGGGCAGACCAGACCAAAUUUUGAUAGGUCUGAGCUUGACUUACGAAAAAAUUUACAAGCCUAAGUCUGAUCUAUGACCUAUUAUAGGCCGUUUUCUUGGUCUGGUCUAUUUAAAAGUCUGAACUGACCUGAAAGCCUUUUUUCAGGCUUAUUUUACAUUAAGGCCGUCAAAUAGUCAUUUUGCCUGUUAAAUUGGCUAAACAAGCCUUAAAGCCUACUUAAAAGCUAUUUCACUACAAGUAAAUUUUAACUAGAUUAAAACCUACUUAAAAGCUGAUAACAACAAAGUCUAUUAAUUGACUAAUGGAUAGAAAGAAAAAAAAAAAGGUGUUUAUAUUUUUAAUGUAUGCAAUUAUUUUAAUAUAAAUAAAUAUUUUUUAAUAAAUAGGUAUCAAUAGGCCGACGUAUUAGGUUUAACAGACUUUUCUGAAAGCCGGCCUAGUCUAUUUAACUAAACAAGCUCUCUAAAAAGCUUAAGUCUAAACCUAUCUACUAAAUAGAUCAGGUCAGAUCAGACCAAAAUAGACCAGACUGUAGACCCAUGUAGGCAAGUCUGACACUCAAACAAAAAAAAUCUCAAAUUAUUCAUACAUAAUGCAAUUGUUAGUCCAACAUAUGACUGGCACACUAUUAACUAUAGCAUAACUAACAAAACGGAAACUUAAAACCGUUUUUCUAAUCAACUAACUUACAUAUGAUAAAUCUAACAUGUGUCUUUACAUAACAAAAUGAACUUAGUUUUGGUAUUUCAUUUGAGCUACCAAAAUUUGACAAGUGUUAAAGGGUGUAGUGCAUGCAUGGCAUUGAAGUUGGAGGUGUCCUCUAGCCUUCAUUCGCAUACACGUGAUCAGCAUCCUUAACCCAUGAAUCGAGGUUCAGUUCAGAGGACACAACAAAGAAGCCCCAUUGAUCAUCCAUAACGUGUCGCUUUACUACAGUUCAACGUGUGACUGACCAAUGACUAAGUUCAACAUGCAUGAAUCCUCUCCUCAAUCCUCAUGCAGUAGAAGGACAAAAACACCCCUACAUAAGAUAAUGCUACCUGGGCCAGGGAAGAACAGGGUAUUGAUGAAAUGGGACCCAACCAAAACCCAUGAGCAACUGAUUGGGACAUAAAGUAUGAGAGGAAAAAACAAGCCAGGAAAAACAAAGAAAGAAUGCAACCUAAUUGAAAUGUCAUAACGUGAGUGGGUUGUUGGAUUACAAUUGGAUGAGUCAUGAAUGAAAAUGUCGAUAAGCCAGCCACCUAUAUUUCCUCGAAACCCCCCCUCCUUUAUUCAAUCUCACACAAUAAUGGUGCACUACGGACAAAAAAUAUUAACAAUUAAAAACAUUUUAUCUUGUAUGCUAAUAGAUUCACGACAAAAUUGGACCAAAAUAUUUUGAGAGUUACUUAGUUAAUUUGCAAUAAUGAUAGGUAAACACUUCACUUUUUAACAAAAUAAAUUGUUAUAAGAACUAGAUUGAUGCCGCACAGGUCGUUUGAGCUGAAAUAUAUUUGUUAAUAGCUGCAAUAUAUUUGCCAAUAAGAUACUUGAAAAGAAAUUUGAUAAUAAUAUAUCGUCAAUUGAUAAUAAUAUAUCAUUAAUUAAAUGCAACACCAAGAAUUAUUGAAGUUUGAUAAUCAUCUACAUGAUGCCGUUAAAAAAAAAAAAGAUAACCACCUGCAUGAUAGUUUUUUACAUUACGCAUUACGACAUAAUACUAAAAGCCCCGGAUACAAAACAACACCAAUGUAAAUACACCAAACAACCAAAACCUUACUCUUCACUCCACAAAUCAAAAACAACUUUGGUACAAUAGAAAACAAAUCAACUCUACAAAUUAAGGAUGCAUUUGUCGCAAUAGAAAAAUUGAAAAGAGAGUUAUGAUAACAUAAUAUAAAAUCAUGAUAAACCACCUAAAUGAUUGUUUUUAAAAGCAUAUUUGAUUGCAAUAGAUUUUUAAUUUUAAUUUGAUGUUAUUGAAUGACAUAUGGCAGUAUGACAAAACAAUGGUUCAUGCUGCAGCCGAUGUUCUGUUCAUUUUUUGGUUUGGAAAUUGAACAAAAAUCAAUUUUAUGUGAUAGACAAUUCUAUCAAAAAAAAUGUGAUAGAUAUUUAAACCAUUGAGCCCUGGGUUGGAUUACAAUUUUCAAAAUUGGAGUCACACAAUCAUGGAUAAUUUGAAAUUCAAAAUGCAAAGAAUUUAAAAUGUUAAUGUAUCACGGUUAACAACAUACUUUAGUUAAUGCCACCGAAUUAAUAAGGUUUGAUUCCAAAAAAAAAAAAUCGAAAUUCAAAUUGGCAAGAAUUUGGGAGGGAAACAUAUUAGGGUUAACAUGCUUAGGAGUUAAUGCAACACAAUUAGAGGAAAAUUAUUAGGUUUAGGUGUUGCUUAACCUAAUAACUUUUAAGAAUAAGGGAUAAUGACAUGUGAACAUAUCCAAUUCUCAUUAUAUCAUUAACAAAUCAUAUCUAUUAUACAAUUUACUCAUUUUCUUUUUCUAAGGAUAAUUCACUCUUUUUAUUUCUCUCUAAAAGUGUCAAUCAAGUUUUGAGUGUCUAUCACAUAUUUUCCUUUAAUAAAGAUCAACCAGCACACAAUCAAAGUCACAACUAACAAGGAUUCAAUUUCUACCAUUGAAGUGAAUUUAGAACUUUUCAUAUAAAAAGUUUCUUAAAAUCACUCUAGCUUUUCCGUAUUAAAGUCACUAAAUAUCGAUCUUAUAUAUAAAACUAAAAUAGAUUGAUGGGGUGUGCCUAUUUAACCCAUUAAGAUUAAGAUGUAGGUUUUCACUUUAUUUAUACAAGUGUUUUUUAGGUGAUUAUACAACUGUUAUUUAUGUAAAGUGACUAAGAAUUAAUUUAAUUUAUAUCAACAAAUCUCAUUUGUAAAGCCGCCAGCAUUAUUGAGCUAUUGAAUAAAAAAGCCACUUAAAUAGUUCUGAUUUCUCCUAUAAAUACCUCAUUACUCUUAUCAACUCAUAUCAUAUCACAAGUUUCUUGCAACUUUAUAAGCGAAAAAAGAAAAGACUCAAAGAAUAUAAGACAAAAGCAAAGAUGAGUUAUUUGAACCGUGUUUGGAUGGCAGCAACAGUGGCGGUGGCACAAGGCCACACUGAUCCAAUCUAUAAGUGCAAAACAGCUCUUGGAACUAUUCACCAAAACCGAACUCGUCUCUUCUCUGCGGGCGGUGCUUUGUCGGCACUCUUGCCACUGUCCAGCGUCGUUGUAUCGGACGCAACCGUGAGUUCUAAGGUUGAAGAGAAGCUGAGACAAACCGAUGAUUCUCUCCAGAAAGUUAUGUACAUGAAUUGUUGGGGUCAAGGCUAAAGAAUAAUACCUAGACACUGAUAGCUUUGAUUAGAAGUGUUGGUCCUGCUUGUUGGAAACUAUUGGUGACAACGAGGCAAAAUUGAUUCAUCGGUGCAGAAUCAACCCUAUGUUUGAGUGAGGAUUGGAAAAGAGCAACAAUGGAAUUCUCGUGCUUAAAUUGAUAAGUCUAUCAGAACAAGAUCUUCUUCAUUCAACUAUGCAUGCAUGAGACUAAAGGGAAAUUUGUUCCAAUUGCAAAUUUUUCUUUUAGCAACCUGAAAACGAGUGUGCAAAGCCCGAGGUAACACAGAGAACUGCGGAUUUAGUGUCUGUAUUACCAAAACCGCGGAUAUUUAGGUUUGCUUCAAUCAAGAGUAAUGUUAUGAUCCAAUUAUCCAUAAUAAUAGCCCAAGGAAUAAUACAUUAAUGGCAAAAUUGGAUUUUGUUGAGCUGUUGAGGAAAAUAGAUAUUAAGGGAGCACAGAGAAGCAAGAGAGAAAUUUUCGAACUGAAAAUAAAUUUGUCGAUUAUGCAUAAUUAGGGCAAUGAUUCCCAAUAUUGGAGUGCAAAAAUGUAUAAUUGGAGCAAUGACCAUCGAUGAUUGGUGUGCAAAAUAUUUAUAAAUUUUUUUACUUUUAUUGGUAAUCUCUAGAUAAUCUCCAGCUAGCAGAGUAAUAGCCUCAAAAUCCUUGUACUUAAUUAGGGUUUCCUUUAAUUUCCUUGGUACUAUUUUUUGUUUUCCAUGAGUUGAUACUAUGUACUAUAAGUUUAAGUUGUACUAUUUCAAUUUUAGAGAGGUGCUAAAAACACUAUUCUCAACCCUUACUCUACCACUCUGGUUGAAAUUUCGAAAAGAGCUCCUAAUACGCCUCUUAAUACCUAAAUCAAUAUACGUACAGAUUUCAUAGAUCAUUUCAUGUGGUAACUAUUUAAUUAUACCUUGGAUAAUUCCUAAUAGCAUCUUAUGUUUAUUGGAUUAUCGUGACUUUGAUUAUAUAUUAAUUAAUUAAUUAAUAUAUAAAAGUGUUAGAC